GUCGAACGAUGAAACUUUCGGGUGGAUUAGUGGCGAACGGGUGAGUAACACGUGGGUGAUCUGCCCUGCACUUCGGGAUAAGCUUGGGAAACUGGGUCUAAUACCGGAUAUGACCACGGGAUGCAUGUUUCGUGGUGGAAAGAAUUUCGGUGCAGGAUGGGCCCGCGGCCUAUCAGCUUGUUGGUGGGGUAAUGGCCUACCAAGGCGACGACGGGUAGCCGGCCUGAGAGGGCGACCGGCCACACUGGGGCUGAGACACGGCCCAGACUCCUACGGGAGGCAGCAGUGGGGAAUAUUGCACAAUGGGCGAAAGCCUGAUGCAGCGACGCCGCGUGGAGGAUGACGGCCUUCGGGUUGUAAACUCCUUUCAGCAGGGACGAAGAGUGAUUGACGGUACCUGCAGAAGAAGCACCGGCCAACUACGUGCCAGCAGCCGCGGUAAUACGUAGGGUGCAAGCGUUGUCCGGAAUUACUGGGCGUAAAGAGCUCGUAGGCGGUUUGUCGCGUCGUCUGUGAAAACUUGGGGCUCAACCUUAAGCUUGCAGGCGAUACGGGCAGACUUGAGUAUUUCAGGGGAGACUGGAAUUCCUGGUGUAGCGGUGAAAUGCGCAGAUAUCAGGAGGAACACCGGUGGCGAAGGCGGGUCUCUGGGAAAUAACUGACGCUGAGGAGCGAAAGCGUGGGUAGCGAACAGGAUUAGAUACCCUGGUAGUCCACGCCGUAAACGGUGGGCGCUAGGUGUGGGUUUCCUUCCACGGGAUCCGUGCCGUAGCUAACGCAUUAAGCGCCCCGCCUGGGGAGUACGGCCGCAAGGCUAAAACUCAAAGGAAUUGACGGGGGCCCGCACAAGCGGCGGAGCAUGUGGAUUAAUUCGAUGCAACGCGAAGAACCUUACCUGGGUUUGACAUACACCGGAAAGCUGCAGAGAUGUAGCCCCCUUUGUGUCGUGUACAGGUGGUGCAUGCUGUCGUCAGCUC
rnacentral:rRNA from 1 species